rnacentral:lncRNA from 1 species
AGGACUCACAGAAAAAACAAAAAGACUCCACUCAUUACUAACCCAUUAUCCUCUCUACUCACGUCUCUCUCUCUUUCCACUCCCUCUCACUCACCUUCACCCCACUCAUAACUAACCCAUUAACUCUCUCAUCUCUAUCUCUGAGUAAAGAAAAAAUGAGAAUAAAGAAAAAGAAAAAAGAAAACCACAACAUUACAUCACCCUCUACAGCCACCGUGAUUUCAUCUUCUCCUCUUCCC